UACGUAGGGGGCAAGCGUUGUCCGGAAUUAUUGGGCGUAAAGCGCGCGCAGGCGGUCCAUUAAGUUGGGUGUUUAAGCCCGGGGCUCAACCCCGGUACGCAUCCAAAACUGGUUGACUUGAGUGUAGGAGAGGAAAGUGGAAUUCCACGUGUAGCGGUGAAAUGCGUAGAGAUGUGGAGGAACACCAGUGGCGAAGGCGACUUUCUGGCCUAUAACUGACGCUGAGGCGCGAAAGCUAGGGUAGCAAACGGG
rnacentral:rRNA from 1 species